UACGUAGGGUGCAAGCGUUGUCCGGAAUUAUUGGGCGUAAAGAGCUCGUAGGCGGUUUGUCGCGUCUGCUGUGAAAACGCGAGGCUCAACCUCGCGCCUGCAGUGGGUACGGGCAGACUAGAGUGCGGUAGGGGAGAUUGGAAUUCCUGGUGUAGCGGUGGAAUGCGCAGAUAUCAGGAGGAACACCCAUGGCGAAGGCAGAUCUCUGGGCCGUAACUGACGCUGAGGAGCGAAAGCGUGGGGAGCGAACAGG
rnacentral:rRNA from 1 species